UACAGGGGGUGCAAACGUUGCUCGGAAUCAUUGGGCGUAAAGCGCACGUAGGCGGUUCGUUAUGUCGGAUGUGAAAGCCCUUGGCUUAACCGAGGAAGUGCAUCCGAAACUGGCGAGCUAGAGUACUAAAGAGGAUCGCGGAAUUCCCGGUGUAGAGGUGAAAUUCGUAGAUAUCGGGAGGAACACCGGUGGCGAAGGCGGCGAUCUGGGUAGAUACUGACGCUGAGGUGCGAAAGCGUGGGGAUCAAACAGGG
rnacentral:rRNA from 1 species